GAUGAACGCUGGCGGCGUGCCUAAUACAUGCAAGUCGAGCGAACAGACGAGGAGCUUGCUCCUCUGACGUUAGCGGCGGACGGGUGAGUAACACGUGGAUAACCUACCUAUAAGACUGGGAUAACUUCGGGAAACCGUAGCUAAUACCGGAUAAUAUAUUGAACCGCAUGGUUCAAUUGUGAAAGACGGUUUUGCUGUCACUUAUAGAUGGAUCCGCGCCGCAUUAGCUAGUUGGUAAGGUAACGGCUUACCAAGGCAACGAUGCGUAGCCGACCUGAGAGGGUGAUCGGCCACACUGGAACUGAGACACGGUCCAGACUCCUACGGGAGGCAGCAGUAGGGAAUCUUCCGCAAUGGGCGAAAGCUUGACGGAGCAACGCCGCGUGAGUGAUGAAGGUCUUCGGAUCGUAAAACUCUGUUAUUAGGGAAGAACAAAUGUGUAAGUAACUAUGCACGUCUUGACGGUACCUAAUCAGAAAGCAACGGCUAACUACGUG
rnacentral:rRNA from 1 species